rnacentral:rRNA from 1 species
GACGAACGCUUGCGGCGUGCUUAACACAUGCAAGUCGAACGGAAAGGCCCUGCUUUUGUGGGGUGCUCGAGUGGCGAACGGGUGAGUAACACGUGAGUAACCUGCCCUUGACUUUGGGAUAACUUCAGGAAACUGGGGCUAAUACCGGAUAGGAGCUCCUGCUGCAUGGUGGGGGUUGGAAAGUUUCGGCGGUUGGGGAUGGACUCGCGGCUUAUCAGCUUGUUGGUGGGGUAGUGGCUUACCAAGGCUUUGACGGGUAGCCGGCCUGAGAGGGUGACCGGCCACAUUGGGACUGAGAUACGGCCCAGACUCCUACGGGAGGCAGCAGUGGGGAAUAUUGCACAAUGGGCGGAAGCCUGAUGCAGCAACGCCGCGUGCGGGAUGACGGCCUUCGGGUUGUAAACCGCUUUCGCCUGUGACGAAGCGUGAGUGACGGUAAUGGGUAAAGAAGCACCGGCUAACUACGUGCCAGCAGCCGCGGUGAUACGUAGGGUGCGAGCGUUGUCCGGAUUUAUUGGGCGUAAAGGGCUCGUAGGUGGUUGAUCGCGUCGGAAGUGUAAUCUUGGGGCUUAACCCUGAGCGUGCUUUCGAUACGGGUUGACUUGAGGAAGGUAGGGGAGAAUGGAAUUCCUGGUGGAGCGGUGGAAUGCGCAGAUAUCAGGAGGAACACCAGUGGCGAAGGCGGUUCUCUGGGCCUUUCCUGACGCUGAGGAGCGAAAGCGUGGGAGCGAACAGGCUUAGAUACCCUGGUAGUCCACGCUGUAAACGGUGGGUACUAGGUGUGGGGUCCAUUCCACGGGUUCCGUGCCGUAGCUAACGCUUUAAGUACCCCGCCUGGGGAGUACGGCCGCAAGGCUAAAACUCAAAGGAAUUGACGGGGCCCCGCACAAGCGGCGGAGCAUGCGGAUUAAUUCGAUGCAACGCGUAGAACCUUACCUGGGUUUGACAUGGAUCGGGAGUGCUCAGAGAUGGGUGUGCCUCUUUUGGGGUCGGUUCACAGGUGGUGCAUGGCUGUCAUCAGCUCGUGUCGUGAGAUGUUGGGUUAAGUCCCGCAACGAGCGCAACCCUUGUUCACUGUUGCCAGCACGUUAUGGUGGGGACUCAGUGGAGACCGCCGGGGUCAACUCGGAGGAAGGUGGGGAUGACGUCAAGUCAUCAUGCCCCUUAUGUCCAGGGCUUCACGCAUGCUACAAUGGCUGGUACAGAGAGUGGCGAGCCUGUGAGGGUGAGCGAAUCUCGGAAAGCCGGUCUCAGUUCGGAUUGGGGUCUGCAACUCGACCUCAUGAAGUCGGAGUCGCUAGUAAUCGCAGAUCAGCAACGCUGCGGUGAAUACGUUCCCGGG